AAAAUAUUAGUCCAAGGAUCCAGUGAGAGACACAGAAGUGCUAGAAGCCACUCCUCAUGAACUAAGGAGAAAAAGAACAGACAAGGGAACACCCCAGACAUGGUAUCAGAGAUCCACAUGACAGGCCCAAUGUGCCUCAUUGAGAACACUAAUGGGCGACUGAUGGCGAAUCCAGAAGCUCUGAAGAUCCUUUCUGCCAUUACGCAGCCUGUGGUGGUGGUGGCGACUGUGGGCCGCUAGCGCACAGGAAAAUCCUACCUGAUUAACAAGCUGGCUCAGAAGAAAAAGGGCUUCUCUCUGGGCUCCACAGUGCAGUCUCACACUAAAGGAAUCUGGAUGUGGUGUAUGCCCCAUCCCAAGAAGCCAGGCCACAUCCUAGUUCUGCUGGACACCGAGGGUCUGGGAGAUGUAGAGAAGGGUGACAACCAGAAUGACUCCUGGAUCUUCGCCCUGGCCGUCCUCCUGAACAGCACUUCCAUGUACAAUAGCAUAGGAACCAUUAACCAGCAGGCCAUGGACCAACUGCAGUAUCCUUUGUGACCCAGAACAGCACCAAGUGGAACGUGUGAAAGCUGAGUCUGCACAGGCUUCAGCAAAAAUGUUGCAGCAAAUGCAAAGAAAGAAUGAGCAGAUGAUGGAACAGAAGGAGAGGAGUUAUCAGGAACACUUGAAACAACUGACUGAGAAGAUGGAGAGCGACAGGGUCCAGUUGCUGGAAGAGCAAGAGAGGACCCUCGCUCUUAAACUUCAGGUGUCUAAUUGCAUCACCUUGAGGUUUCUGUUUUUCUGUUUUCUCUCCAUUCUCCCCGAUCACAGGCUUACUGUGGCAGAGAGAACAUGAAGCCCAGGGGAAGAACCCUGCUUGCUUACUUGUACUUUUCAAUUCCUGUCUGUCCAGCCUGAACUGGCUACUGCCAAGUCUGGUCACUAAACUGCAAAUAUUGCAGUUGUGUCACAUUCAGUGCUUUAUCUAUAUAUCCUUCAUUUCAAGGCAGGUAUUAUCUGCUAGCCAUCAUUAAAGUAUCUGUAUCUCUUGCUUAAUACCAUGUGAAGCAAGAACUAUAUUCUUAUUACUUAGGAGAAGAAACAAAGUUUCCAAAAAUAAUAAAUAAAUAGAGUCACACAGCUAGUAAAUGUAUCAAAGCUGUCUUCAUCACUUAGUGGAAUCCACAAUGAUUAUUUUUUUCUGUGACACCUAGUAUGAAAUUAAACUUAAGAAAACCUUUGUGAGCAG